AAGUCGUAACAAGGUUUCCGUAGGUGAACCUGCGGAAGGAUCAUUAACACGUAUCCAACGUUAAAACCCCCCUGUGAACCUUCAGUGUGCUCGUCCAUUCUGUUAGAAAGCCGGGGUAUCUGGUAAAUCAUUGCCGAACAGUUUUGAUUCAGAAACCUUUGCAAAGAGUGGUACUUGUAGCGCGAGGCAAGUGGCCUGGCAUUCCUCUGCAUAGUUGAUGUCUGAAAGUGUCAUUGGCUAUGUACGGAUGACGCAGUAACGAUCACUAGAGGCCGACACGGCCGGUGACCGGGUCGCCGGGCUCACGCCCCUUAAUAACCUUUGCAUGAAAACGGGCCUGCGCUUAAUUGUGCGGCCACCAGACUCGAACAAAUGUUAACAAUGGAUAUCUUGGUUCUC
rnacentral:misc_RNA from 1 species